rnacentral:rRNA from 1 species
AUUGAACGCUGGCGGCGUGCUUAACACAUGCAAGUCGAUCGGUAACAGGUGUAGCAAUACAUGCUGACGAGAGGCGGACGGGUGAGGAAUAUUUGGGAAUCUGCCCAUCAGCGGGGGACAACCCGGGGAAACCCGGGCUAAUACCGCAUACGCUCUACGGAGGAAAGCCGGGGACCGCAAGGCCUGGCACUGAUGGAUGAGCCCAAAUCGGAUUAGCUAGUUGGCGGGGUAACGGCCCACCAAGGAGACGAUCCGUAGCUGGUCUGAGAGGACGGUCAGCCACACCGGAACUGAGACACGGUCCGGACUCCUACGGGAGGCAGCAGUGGGGAAUAUUGGACAAUGGGGGAAACCCUGAUCCAGCGACGCCGCGUGGGUGAAGAAGGCCUGCGGGUUGUAAAGCCCUUUCGGUAGGGACGAAAGCUCUUGCUCUAACAGAGCUGGAGGUUGACUUAACCUACAUAAGAAGCACCGGCUAACUCUGUGCCAGCCGCCGCAGUAAUAC